GAUGAACGCUGGCGGCGUGCUUAACACAUGCAAGUCGAACGAAGCAUUUGCGGCAGAUUUUUUCGGAAUGAAGUUGCUUAUGACUGAGUGGCGGACGGGUGAGUAACGCGUGGGUAACCUGCCUUGUACUGGGGGAUAGCAGCUGGAAACGGCUGGUAAUACCGCAUAAGCGCACAAUGUUGCAUGACAUGGUGUGAAAAACUCCGGUGGUAUAAGAUGGACCCGCGUCUGAUUAGCUAGUUGGUGAGAUAACAGCCCACCAAGGCGACGAUCAGUAGCCGACCUGAGAGGGUGACCGGCCACAUUGGGACUGAGACACGGCCCAGACUCCUACGGGAGGCAGCAGUGGGGAAUACUGCACAAUGGAGGAAACUCUGAUGCAGCGACGCCGCGUGAGUGAAGAAGUAAUUCGUUAUGUAAAGCUCUAUCAGCAGGGAAGAUAGUGACGGUACCUGACUAAGAAGCUCCGGCUAAAUACGUG
rnacentral:rRNA from 1 species